rnacentral:lncRNA from 1 species
UAUAUAGGUACAAUUGUGAGAUUUAUAUGUGAAAAUGAACUUAGAAGGUCCUUAAAAUAUUAUAUUUUAACAUGAAUUUUAUAUUAUUUUUCAGGAAAAAAAAAUUAUUGUUUUAAAAUUUGGUACAAAUUCAUGCAUCCCUCCAACCAAAAGGGAAAAAAAAUAAAAUUGGCAUCUUCAACCACCUAAGAAAAAAAACACACACAAACAUAGACAUACUCUCCAAAUGAAGGCAACCAUACCAUAUCGAACGGGUGGGAAUCCAUCUUGUGGGCCCAGUAGUUUUGUGCCACGUAGAUUCUGUAAUAACAGUUGGUUUGGUUUGGUGGUGGGUCAUUUUGUUUCCCAACAAACGGGUGCCUUUAGUUUUUCUUCAAUUCUUUUUGUCCCAACAAUAAUAAAAAUAUUUGAGAAAAUGUGAAAAAUAAUAUUAAUAAUAAUAAUCAAAUUGAUAUUGAAAAGCAUAAUACACCAGCCAAAGGAGACGGCAACAGUGACAG